rnacentral:rRNA from 1 species
CGGCGGUAAUUCCAGCUCCACUAGCGUAUAUUAAAGUUGCUGCAGUUAAAAAGCUCGUAGUCGGAUCUCGGGAUCGUGUCGGCGGCUUUGUCGCUUCUUCUGCGCUUCGGCGUUGGGAGUUGUGGCAGGUCGUCGGCCCUGUCGGCGAGGUCCCCACCCUUGGUGGGGUUCCACCUCGCUCGUGCAGCCCGCCGUCGCGUUUGGGCGGGUGUCCUUAAUUGGAUGCCCGCUCUCGAACGUGGCCAUUUUACCUUGAACAAAUCGGAGUGCUCAAAGCAGGCUCUUCAUCGCUCGAACGGUAGCGCAUGGAAUAAUGGAAGAGGACCGGCUUCCGCUUCUGUUGGUCUCACGGAGGCAGGUAAUGAUCAAGAGGGACGGAUGGGGGCAGAGGUAUGGCCUGGCGAGAGGUGAAAUUCUUGGACCCUGGCCAGACCCUCGAGAGCGAAAGCAUCUGCCAAAGAUGUUUCCAUUGAUCAAGAACGAAAGUCGCGGGAUCGAACGGGAUUAGAUACCCCGGUAGUCGCGACCGCAAACGAUGCCAACCGGGAAUUCGGCGGCGUUACUUCCAUGACCCGUCGAGCGCCCGACCCGGGAAACCGAGAGUCUUUGGGUUCCGGGGGGAGUAUGGUUGCAAAGCUGAAACUUAAAGGAAUUGACGGAAGGGCACCACCAGGAGUGGAGCCUGCGGCUUAAUUUGACUCAACACGGGGAACCUCACCCGGCCCGGACACCGCGAGGAUUGACAGACUGAGAGCUCUUUCUCGAUUCGGUGGGUGGUGGUGCAUGGCCGUUCUUAGUUGGUGGAGCGAUCUGUCUGGUUAAUUCCGAUAACGAACGAGACCCCAACCUGCUAACUAGCCCUCGGGUCCUGCUUCUGUUGGGCCCGACGGAAUGAUUCGCUUCUUAGAAGGACUCGCGGCGCCUAGCCGCACGAAGGGGGGCGAUAACAGGUCUGUGAUGCCCUUAGAUGUUCGGGGCUGCACGCGCGCUACACUGAAGGCAUCAGCGUGCGCUUUGUCCGUUCCCUGCCUGAAAAGGCUGGGUAACCCGCUGAACCGCCUUCGUGCCUGGGAUAGGGAUUUGCAAUUAUCUCCCUUGAACGAGGAAUUCCCAGUAGGCGCGAGUCAUCAGCUCGCGUCGAUUACGUCCCUGCCCUUUGUACACACCGCCCGUCGCUACUACCGAUCGAACGAUGUAGUGAGGUCCUCGGACUGGCAUCUACUCGGAAGCCGGGCUCGCUCGGUAGAAGAGCUUGUUUGCCGGGAAGAGGAUCAAACUGGAUCGUUUAGAGGAAGUAAAAGUCGUAACAAGGUUUCCGUAGGUGAACCUGCAGAAGGAUCA